rnacentral:lncRNA from 1 species
CUUUGGAGAUUUGAAUCUUUCGUAACUAGCUAGCUUGUGUUCACUCUCUACGUUUUCGUGGUUGUGCUCUCCAUCAUAAAUGGCGACUAGAAGACCUUCAUCAUCCACGCUUCUUUGUACCUGAAAAUCAAGCAUACUACAUUUAGGUUAUACUUUAUUUUGUAGUUAUUAAGUCGAUUUGCUACUUUGGUGUUUGUAGGAAGAGAUGAAUGACCUUCUUUUUGACUGGGCAGGAUGGUGCGAAGGAGCACUUGUAGUAAGCUCGAGGACAAGGGUUAUCUCUGGUAACCUUCUGCCCGUAUUUUCUCCAUUGAUAACCAUCUUUUAUUAUCUACAUGUAAAGUCAACAAAACCUAAAUUAAAUUCCAUAAGUUAGACAGAAGUUAUGUACUCUUUAAAAGGCGUGCUUUGUACCAUGCUUUUAUCAGAUGGAUCUGUACGUCUAUAAACUUUUGUCACGCCGUCGUUUCUACUUUUCAACGACUCUUGAUGAAGACUCUUCCUGCUCUCAAAGGAGUUGCGAUCGUCACACUCACUAAACUUCCUUUUGUUUGUAUUAGAGGCAACUAAAUCGUGUU